rnacentral:lncRNA from 1 species
AUUUUCCAAUUUUUAGACAUUUUAUUUUCACAAUGUACUACUGUUUUAUUUUUUCCAUGUUUAAAUCACAAUUAUCCAAUGUUCCUCCAUUUUCUCCCAGCACUCCACUACAACCACAAACUCAUGAGCAAGUUGACUAUUUGGACUGGAGGAUUAAGAGUGAGGAAACAUCUUCCUGCUGCUAAUAAUGCAAACUGCUCCUGAUUUAUAGCUUCAAAUACUUUAGCCAGCAAACAUUCAUGGAAUCACAUCUGCAUGCCAAGCACAGUGUUAAGGUAAGAUGCCAGAGGCUUCCAUUCCAAGGUUUUCAUGGCCUACUGAGGAAGAUAGAUAGAAAUAAUAGCAACUUAAUAAUAUCUGCAAAUGAAUAGUAGCCCAGAAGAAGUAGUGGUUAGCUCUGUUGGUGAUGAGCAGGUGGUAACAGGAUCAGGUUUCACAAAAAAAGUCUUUCAGGGGAAAGUUGUCUUAUUCACAGCAAUAUUCUCAGGCACCUAGUCUAGUACCUGGUACAUAGCAGGCAGUUGUAAUUGACACAAGUAAGGCAGCUUUCUCCCUCACAGAGAUUCCUCUGAUAGUCAGGUCAUGCAAUUCUCCUACCUUAACUUCCACCAUCUACUUCUUCCUUAGCUGAAUGAUCCAAAUGUAUAAACAUUUUACUCCUAUUGGGCCAAUUGUAAUACCCUAUCCACUGCUUGGCUCAAGAAGAAGCAUAUGACCCAAGCUGGAAAACCUAGGAUUCUUCUCUGUUACUCAUUUAUUCGUUUUUUAACUUUGGUUGGGAGAAGAAAGCCCUUUCCUUUCAAAUUCUCACAGCUCAUACCCAACACCUAACAGAGAUAAAUAUUUAGUGGGUUCUCAAUGUAUGUUUGUUGAAAAAAUGAUUGUAUGAUGAGGAAGCUGUUGGGGUGCGAAUGUGGAACCUCCAGUAAUUAGGUUCACCACCUCAUGGAGAAACCAUUCUAGGAAAAGGAUGUUGAGAGGUGGAGAAGGAAAAAGAGAGAGAGAGAGAGAGAGUCUCAAAGGCAUGUGUAAGCCCAGGUCUGUCAUUCUCAAUACCCUCUCAACUUCUUGUGUUCCCCAGUAAAAUGUUUCCAUAAACUAAUUCAAGUUAUUAGCACCUGGGAGAGUCCUAACACAUUAUUCAAUAGAACUGGUUGAGAAAUUGGCUGAUGAUUGAAUGAAUGAAUGAAUGAAUGAACGGACAGAUGAAGCAUGUCUCUUCAGAGGGCACAGAGACCCCAAACAAGCAGGUGUGCCACACUACGGUGUGCUAGAUAUGAUAUUUUAACCACAGCAGAUUUUCACCUUCUCCAUGUAUUGCAGGAGCCAGCGAGGGAUAAAUAAAACUUCCCAAACUUCCUUGAAGCUAGAAGUC